rnacentral:rRNA from 1 species
UACAGAGGGUGCAAGCGUUGUUCGGAAUUAUUGGGCGUAAAGCGCGUGUAGGCGGCUUUGCAAGUCGGGUGUGAAAGCCCUCAGCUCAACUGAGGAAGUGCGCCCGAAACUGCAGAGCUUGAGUACCGGAGAGGAUGGCGGAAUUCCCCAAGUAGAGGUGAAAUUCGUAGAUAUGGGGAGGAACACCGGGUGGCGAAGGCGGCCAUCUGGACGGAUACUGACGCUGAGACGCGAAAGCGUGGGGAGCAAACAGG